UAGGGAAUUUUGCGCAAUGGGGGAAACCCUGACGCAGCAACGCCGCGUGAAUGACGAAGCCCUUCGGGGUGUAAAGUUCUGUCAGUGGGGAAGAAUUUUGACUGUACCCACAAAGGAAGCACCGGCUAACUCCGUGCCAGCAGCCGCGGUAAUACGGAGGGUGCAAGCGUUGUCCGGAAUCAUUGGGCGUAAAGCGUUCGUAGGCGGCAUAUCAAGUCUGGUGUUAAAGCCCGGGGCUCAACUCCGGUUCGGCACUGGAUACUGAUAAGCUAGAAUGAGGUAGGGGUAAUGGGAAUUCCUGGUGUAGCGGUGAAAUGCGUAGAUAUCAGGAGGAACAUCGGUGGCGUAAGCGCAUUACUGGGCCUUUAUUGACGCUGAGGAACGAAAGCCGGGGGAGCAAAUG
rnacentral:rRNA from 1 species